CAGUAGCCGCGGUAAUACGUAGGGUGCGAGCGUUAAUCGGAAUUACUGGGCGUAGAGCGUGCGCAGGCGGUUGUGUAAGACAGGUGUGAAAUCCCCGGGCUUAACCUGGGAACUGCGCUUGUGACUGCACAGCUAGAGUAUGGCAGAGGGGGGUGGAAUUCCACGUGUAGCAGUGAAAUGCGUAGAGAUGUGGAGGAACACCGAUGGCGAAGGCAGCCCCCUGGGCCAAUACUGACGCUCAUGCACGAAAGCGUGGGGAGCAAACAGGAUUAGAUACCCCCGUAGUCCCUGUCUCUUAUAC
rnacentral:rRNA from 1 species